rnacentral:rRNA from 1 species
UACAGAGGGUGCAAGCGUUAAUCGGAAUUACUGGGCGUAAAGCGUGCGUAGUCGGUUAUUUAAGUCGGGUGUGAAAGCCCCGGGCUCAACCUGGGAAUUGCAUUCGAUACUGGAUAGCUAGAGUUCGGCAGAGGGAAGCGGAAUUUCCGGUGUAGCGGUGAAAUGCGUAGAUAUCAAGUGGAACACCAGUGGCGAAGGCGAGUCCCUGGACAACUCCUGACACUGAGGCACGAAAGCUAGGGGAGCAAACAGG